AUUGAACGCUGGCGGCAUGCUUUACACAUGCAAGUCGAACGGCAGCGCGGGCUUCGGCCUGGCGGCGAGUGGCGAACGGGUGAGUAAUGCAUCGGAACGUGCCCAGUAGUGGGGGAUAGCCCGGCGAAAGCCGGAUUAAUACCGCAUACGACCUGAGGGUGAAAGCGGGGGACCGAAAGGCCUCGCGCUAUUGGAGCGGCCGAUGUCGGAUUAGCUAGUUGGUGGGGUAAAGGCUUACCAAGGCGACGAUCCGUAGCUGGUCUGAGAGGACGACCAGCCACACGGGGACUGAGCCGCGGCCCAGACCCCUACGGGAGGCGGCGUGGGGGAUUUUUGGACAAGGGGGGCAACCCUGACCCACCCAUGCCGCGGGCGGAAAGAGGGCCUUCGGGUUCUAAACCGCUUUUGUUGGGGAAGAAAUACUCGGGGCUAAUCCCCCGGGGGGAUGACGGUCCCGAAAGAAAAAGCCCCGGCUAACUCCGUC
rnacentral:rRNA from 1 species